rnacentral:rRNA from 1 species
UACGGAGGGUGCAAGCGUUGCUCGGAAUUAUUGGGCGUAAAGGGCAGGUAGGUGGUCUCGUUUGUCUGGGGUGAAAGCCUUGAGCUUAACUCAAGAAGUGCCCCAGAAACGGCGAGACUAGAGUUCUGGAGAGGGUCGUGGAAUUCCUGGUGUAGCGGUGAAAUGCGCAGAUAUCAGGAGGAACACCGGUGGCGAAGGCGGGUCUCUGGGCCGAUACUGACGCUGAGGAGCGAAAGCGUGGGGAGCGAACAGG